ensembl:snRNA U1 U1 spliceosomal RNA
AGACCAGGGGGUGAUACCGGGAUCAAGAAGGUGGUUCACCCAGGGCGAGGCUUAGCUGUUCUGACCCCUGCGAAUUCCCAAAAUGUGGUAAUCUCAACUGCAUAAUUUCCUUUUGAUUUACAGGGCCGCUUCCUUUA